CGGGCGUGAUGUCAAACGCCGGCCUGACGCGCUGUGGAGGGAAAAGACUGAUUUAAUGAGGCUGAUCC
rnacentral:snoRNA from 1 species